CCUGAAGUGAUGACUUACAAUUACCGCCCCAGUCUGAUGUUAAGCUGACUGAUUGGUUAUUGUCUGAUCUAUG
ensembl:snoRNA SNORD31 Small nucleolar RNA SNORD31